GCAUUGUGAAAGGGAAAAAUAUAAAGGACCACAAGAAGAAAUGCAAGAAAAGACAAAAGAGAAAAUUUUCUUUUGUCUUUUCAUUAUCAUUUUCUUGUCGUUAUUCUUAUGUCUUUUCAUUAGAACAUGAUUUGAAAAUGAUGGAAG
rnacentral:ribozyme from 1 species